rnacentral:rRNA from 1 species
UUAAGCGACUAAGCGUACACGGUGGAUGCCCUGGCAGUCAGAGGCGAUGAAGGGCGUGCUAAUCUGCGAUAAGCGCCGGUAAGGUGAUAUGAACCGUUAUAACCGACGAUACCCGAAUGGGGAAACCCAGUGUGACUCGUCACACUAUCAUUAACUGAAUCCAUAGGUUAAUGAGGCGAACCGGGGGAACUGAAACAUCUAAGUACCCCGAGGAAAAGAAAUCAACCGAGAUUCCCCCAGUAGCGGCGAGCGAACGGGGAGGAGCCCAGAGCCUGAAUCAGCAUGUGUGUUAGUGGAAGCGUCUGGAAAGGCGCGCGAUACAGGGUGACAGCCCCGUACACAAAAGCGCAUGUGCUGUGAGCUCGAUGAGUAGGGCGGGACACGUGGUAUCCUGUCUGAAUAUGGGGGGACCAUCCUCCAAGGCUAAAUACUCCUGACUGACCGAUAGUGAACCAGUACCGUGAGGGAAAGGCGAAAAGAACCCCGGCGAGGGGAGUGAAAAAGAACCUGAAACCGUGUACGUACAAGCAGUGGGAGCACAGGUUUACCUGUGUGACUGCGUACCUUUUGUAUAAUGGGUCAGCGACUUAUAUUCUGUAGCAAGGUUAACCGCAUAGGGGAGCCGGAGGGAAAACCGAGUCUUAAUUGGGCGUUAAGUUGCAGGGUAUAGACCCGAAACCCGGUGAUCUAGCCAUGGGCAGGUUGAAGGUUGGGUAACACUAACUGGAGGACCGAACCGACUAAUGUUGAAAAAUUAGCGGAUGACCUGUGGCUGGGGGUGAAAGGCCAAUCAAACCGGGAGAUAGCUGGUUCUCCCGAAAGCUAUUUAGGUAGCGCCUCGUGAACUCAUCUCCGGGGGUAGAGCAACUGUUUCGGCUAGGGGGCCAUCCCGGCUUACCAACCCGAUGCAAACUGCGAAUACCGGAGAAUGUUAUCACGGGAGACACACGGCGGGUGCUAACGUCCGUCGUGAAGAGGGAAACAACCCAGACCGCCAGCUAAGGUCCCAAAGUCAUGGUUAAGUGGGAAACGAUGUGGGAAGGCCCAGACAGCCAGGAUGUUGGCUUAGAAGCAGCCAUCAUUUAAAGAAAGCGUAAUAGCUCACUGGUCGAGUCGGCCUGCGCGGAAGAUGUAACGGGCUAAACCAUGCACCGAAGCUGCGGCAGCGACGCUUAUGCGUUGUUGGGUAGGGGAGCGUUCUGUAAGCCUGUGAAGGUGGCCUGUGAGGGUUGCUGGAGGUAUCAGAAGUGCGAAUGCUGACAUAAGUAACGAUAAAGCGGGUGAAAAGCCCGCUCGCCGGAAGACCAAGGGUUCCUGUCCAACGUUAAUCGGGGCAGGGUGAGUCGACCCCUAAGGCGAGGCCGAAAGGCGUAGUCGAUGGGAAACGGGUUAAUAUUCCCGUACUUGGUGUUACUGCGAAGGGGGGACGGAGAAGGCUAUGUUGGCCGGGCGACGGUUGUCCCGGUUUAAGCGUGUAGGCUGGUUUUCCAGGCAAAUCCGGAAAAUCAAGGCUGAGGCGUGACGACGAGGCACUACGGUGCUGAAGCAACAAAUGCCCUGCUUCCAGGAAAAGCCUCUAAGCAUCAGGUAACAUCAAAUCGUACCCCAAACCGACACAGGUGGUCAGGUAGAGAAUACCAAGGCGCUUGAGAGAACUCGGGUGAAGGAACUAGGCAAAAUGGUGCCGUAACUUCGGGAGAAGGCACGCUGACACGUAGGUGAAGUGAUUUACUCAUGGAGCUGAAGUCAGUCGAAGAUACCAGCUGGCUGCAACUGUUUAUUAAAAACACAGCACUGUGCAAACACGAAAGUGGACGUAUACGGUGUGACGCCUGCCCGGUGCCGGAAGGUUAAUUGAUGGGGUCAGCGCAAGCGAAGCUCCUGAUCGAAGCCCCGGUAAACGGCGGCCGUAACUAUAACGGUCCUAAGGUAGCGAAAUUCCUUGUCGGGUAAGUUCCGACCUGCACGAAUGGCGUAAUGAUGGCCAGGCUGUCUCCACCCGAGACUCAGUGAAAUUGAACUCGCUGUGAAGAUGCAGUGUACCCGCGGCAAGACGGAAAGACCCCGUGAACCUUUACUAUAGCUUGACACUGAACAUUGAGCCUUGAUGUGUAGGAUAGGUGGGAGGCUUUGAAGUGUGGACGCCAGUCUGCAUGGAGCCGACCUUGAAAUACCACCCUUUAAUGUUUGAUGUUCUAACGUGGACCCGUUACCCGGGUUGCGGACAGUGUCUGGUGGGUAGUUUGACUGGGGCGGUCUCCUCCUAAAGAGUAACGGAGGAGCACGAAGGUUGGCUAAUCCUGGUCGGACAUCAGGAGGUUAGUGCAAUGGCAUAAGCCAGCUUGACUGCGAGCGUGACGGCGCGAGCAGGUGCGAAAGCAGGUCAUAGUGAUCCGGUGGUUCUGAAUGGAAGGGCCAUCGCUCAACGGAUAAAAGGUACUCCGGGGAUAACAGGCUGAUACCGCCCAAGAGUUCAUAUCGACGGCGGUGUUUGGCACCUCGAUGUCGGCUCAUCACAUCCUGGGGCUGAAGUAGGUCCCAAGGGUAUGGCUGUUCGCCAUUUAAAGUGGUACGCGAGCUGGGUUUAGAACGUCGUGAGACAGUUCGGUCCCUAUCUGCCGUGGGCGCUGGAGAACUGAGGGGGCUGCUCCUAGUACGAGAGGACCGGAGUGGACGCAUCACUGGUGUUCGGGUUGUCAUGCCAAUGGCACUGCCCGGUAGCUAAAUGCGGAAGAGAUAAGUGCUGAAAGCAUCUAAGCACGAAACUUGCCCCGAGAUGAGUUCUCCCUGAGACUUAGAGUCUCCUGAAGGAACGUUGAAGACGACGACGUUGAUAGGCCGGGUGUGUAAGCGCAGCGAUGCGUUGAGCUAACCGGUACUAAUGAACCGUGAGGCUUAACCUU